UACGAAGGGGGCUAGCGUUGUUCGGAAUUACUGGGCGUAAAGCGCACGUAGGCGGACUGUUAAGUCGGGGGUGAAAGCCCAGGGCUCAACCCUGGAACGGCCUUCGAUACUGGCAGUCUUGAGAACGGGAGAGGUGAGUGGAAUUCCUAGUGUAGAGGUGAAAUUCGUAGAUAUUAGGAAGAACACCAGUGGCGAAGGCGGCUCACUGGCCCGUUUCUGACGCUGAGGUGCGAAAGCGUGGGGAGCAAACAGG
rnacentral:rRNA from 1 species